AAAUAUAAUAGAAAAGAUGUUAAUUAUUUUAAUAUAUUUAAAUUUUGAUUUUACUAAUAAAUUUGAAAAACCAUGUAUAAAAACAUUUUUAAAAAUAAUUAAUUUAAAAGAUUUAAUGACUUAAAACAUUAAUGAGAAAAAAUAUACAUUUAUUAUCAUAAUAAAUGUAAUUAUAAAACUUUUUAAAAAUUUUUAUUAUUUUAAAUCAAUAUUAAAUAUAUUUA
rnacentral:tRNA from 1 species